rnacentral:misc_RNA from 1 species
AACGCACAUUGCGCCCUGUGGUAUUCCGCAGGGCAUGCCUGUUCGAGCGUCAGUACAACACUCAAGCUCAGCUUGGUCUUGAGCCCAGCGGGUCCCCCGCGGGCUUUAAAAGCAGUGGCGGUGCCGUCUGGCCCUAAGCGUAGUAAUACUCCUCGCUUCUGGGUCCGGGCGGUCGCUGGCCAGCAACCCAACUUUCUCAAGUUUGACCUCGGAUCAGGUAGGGAUACCCGCUGAACUUAA